GAUGAACGCUGGCGGCGUGCUUAACACAUGCAAGUCGAACGGUGAAAGAGAGCUUGCUCUCUGGAUCAGUGGCGAACGGGUGAGUAACACGUGAGCAAUCUGCCCCUGACUCUGGGAUAAGCGCUGGAAACGGCGUCUAAUACCGGAUACGAGCUGCGAAGGCAUCUUCAGCAGCUGGAAAGAACUUCGGUCAGGGAUGAGCUCGCGGCCUAUCAGCUAGUUGGUGAGGUAACGGCUCACCAAGGCGUCGACGGGUAGCCGGCCUGAGAGGGUGACCGGCCACACUGGGACUGAGACACGGCCCAGACUCCUACGGGAGGCAGCAGUGGGGAAUAUUGCACAAUAGGCGAAAGCCUGAUGCAGCAACGCCGCGUGAGGGACGACGGCCUUCGGGUUGUAAACCUCUUUUAGCAGGGAAGAAGCGAAAGUGACGGUACCUGCAGAAAAAGCGCCGGCUAACUACGUG
rnacentral:rRNA from 1 species